rnacentral:lncRNA from 1 species
UGAUUGCGACUAUUCGACCUAUCCGAACAUCGGAUACCAUUGCUAGAUGGUCACUUCGAUUAGUACAGGAAUUGAUUUUUGUGCUACCGAUUUAGGUUCGAAUCUGUAGGGUCACACACAUUAGAGAUUCCUAUCUGAUCUGAUGGCUGAUGAAGAGUCCCACUGGACUGGGACGAAGAACAAGAAGAAGAAGAAUAAGAAGGUGCGGCCGCAUGCUGGGACGUCUACACAGGGUCAGAUCAAGAAGCGCAAGCCCGACUUGAGCCAAGUGGAGUGCUUCUUUUGCAAGAAGCAGGCA